rnacentral:rRNA from 1 species
GAUGAACGCUGGCGGCGCGCCUAAUACAUGCAAGUCGAGCGAGAAGACGUAGCAAUACGUUUGUAAAGCGGCGAACGGGUGAGGAAUACAUGGGUAACCUACCCUAGAGUGGGGAAUAACUAGCCGAAAGGUUAGCUAAUACCGCGUACGCUCCUUGGACUUCGGUUCAGGGAGGAAAGCGAUGCCGAGGGUAUCGCGCUCUUGGAUGGGCUCAUGUCCUAUCAGCUUGUUGGGAGGUAACGGCUCACCAAGGCUUCGACGGGUAGCUGGUCUGAGAGGACGAUCAGCCACACUGGCACUGCGACACGGGCCAGACUCCUACGGGAGGCAGCAGUAAGGAAUAUUGCGCAAUGGGCGAAAGCCUGACGCAGCGACGCCGCGUGGGGGA